rnacentral:rRNA from 1 species
CUAGUAUAGCAUUAUACAGCGAAACUGCGAAUGGCUCAUUAUAUAAGUUAUCGUUUAUUUGAUAGUGCCUUACUACUUGGAUAACCGUGGUAAUUCUAGAGCUAAUACAUGCUGAAAGCCCCGACUCACGGAGGGGCGUAUUUAUUAGAUUAAAAACCAAUGCCCUUCGGGGCUCCUUGGUGAUUCAUGAUAACUUCUCGAAUCGCACGGCCUUGCGCCGGCGAUGGUUCAUUCAAAUUUCUUCCCUAUCAACUUUCGAUGUUUGGGUAGUGGCCAAACAUGGUGGCAACGGGUAACGGAGGGUUAGGGCUCGACCCCGGAGAAGGAGCCUGAGAAACGGCUCCUACAUCCAAGGAAGGCAGCAGGCGCGCAAAUUACCCAAUCCCGACUCGGGGAGGUAGUGACAAUAAAUACUGAUGCAGGGCUCUUUAGGGUCUUGCAAUUGGAAUGAGUACAAUUUAAAUCCCUUAACGAGGAACAAUUGGAGGGCAAGUCUGGUGCCAGCAGCCGCGGUAACUCCAGCUCCAAUAGCGUAUAUUAAAGUUGUUGUGGUUAAAAAGCUCGUAGUUGAACCUUGGGCCUGGCCGUCCGGUCCGCCUCACCGCGUGCACUGGCACGGCCGGGCCUUCCCACCGCGGAAUCGCAUGCCCUUUACUGGGCGUGUCGGGGAAGCGGUACUUUUACUGUGAAAAAAUUAGAGUGCUCUAAGCAGGCCUAUGCUCGAAUACAUUAGCAUGGAAUAAUAGAAUAGGACAGGCGUUCUAUUUUGUUGGUUUCUAGGACGUCUGUAAUGAUUAACAGAAACAAUCGGGGGCGUCAGUAUUGCAUCGUCAGAGGUGAAAUUCUUAGAUCGACGCAAGACUAACUACUGCGAAAGCAUUCGCCAAGGGUGUUUUCAUUAAUCAGGAACGAAAGUUAGGGGAUCGAAGACGAUCAGAUACCGUCGUAGUCUUAACCAUAAACUAUGCCGACUAGGGAUCGGGCGGUGUUAAUUUUUGACCCGCUCGGCACCUUACGAGAAAUCUUAAGUGCUGGGCUCCAGGGGAGU